CACUCCCACUCACGCGUACACACGCCACGCUCGGAUCUGAACUCACACGUAGUUCAGUUGCCCUCCCCCACCCCCAACACACACUGAAAACCCGCCUAUUUGGCCCCGCGGCCCCGUUUUCAAAGCGCAGGUUCCGAUUUCCCGAGAGAUGGCAAAGGCCCUGGCAGGAAGUUUACAGGGUUUAACGUAAACAAGUUCUGGGGGAUUCUUUAAUAAUAAUAAUAGAGAAUUCCGCGUGCGCAGGGCGGGAGGGGGGAGUUGGCCUAAUGCCCCUGUGGGCUCGGCCUGCCGCCGCCGCGGGGCCUCUGACACUGCGCGCCAGGCCAGGUUCCUGAGAGCAGACAGCGCGGGCUGGGAGCGCCGGCAAGGGCGGCCCUCGCGCACCUGGCUGCCAGCCCGCAGGGGGCUCGCACGCAGACCUGCCCUUGCCACCUCAGCGCUCGGGUGCGGGCUGGGGGCGGUGGAGCCACGAAAGGUGGUGCCGAGAGCGGAGCGCAGGACAGCGCAGGAGCCCCGGCGCAUCGCGGCGCGCACAGACCCAGGAUUUGUGAAGAGGUGACCCAAAUUUCAAGACAAUGUUGGAUGCAAACGGAUUUGCCAGCAACUGCAUCACUGUCAAAACCAGCUCUGCCCGUGUCUUCCGAAGAUACCAAGUGAAAUACAUGUAGAUGGGAUUUACAUCUGAAAAACCAAGUGAGAAACUGAAGACCAGAGAGGGUGAGUGGUUUACUCAGUUUGGCACAACUGACCCCAACCUAGCCCUCCAUGAGGACUGAGCGCAUGAGAGAUCCUGAGCCACAGCCGCCCAGCCCUGCUCCUCUCGAAUUUCUGACCUACAGGAACUGCAAGAAGUAAUGAAAGACUGCUGUUUAAAGCCACUGCAUUUUGGCAUGAUUUGUUAUGCAGUCGUAGAUAACCAGAAAACAUCGGAUUUACAUUUUAAGGAUUACUUCAUGCACAUAAAAGAAAACGCAACUACAGUGGACCCUGAACAACGUAGGAAACAGAGAAGCAAAGAAGUUAGCAAGCUUGUUUUGGCAGAAGAAAAAACACAAAAUACCCAACCACAGAUCCUCAAAAAUAUUGCUAAGCACUAAUUUUGCUAACAUGUUAGACAGCCUUCGGAUCUAGGCAAUCUUGUUCCUCAGCUGGAAAGAGUUCCUGCCAGCCAUGUGAUUCCAAAUCCACCCUGGACAUAUGGGGAUAAUGAGAAAAUCAGCUCCGGCCUUCCCUGGCCUUCCAGCCAAGUGAAUGGGGGCAUCCCCUGGUGCUUCAGCCCGGGGCCCACCCAGAGGAUGCUAGCUGGCCUGCAGAGGCCUCAACCAUGCCCUCCUGGACUCAGGUAAGACUGAGGUUUCCAUGCCCUCAAAACAAUUGUUCAGACAAAAACUCACUGCCCAGGUCAAAGUCACAGCACCAGAAAGCCAACCUGAGGAUGAAGACAAAGCUCUUUGUUGGCACAGUCCCCUGAUCAUUCGAGGUCAGCAUCUCCAUCAAAAUGGACCCAAUGCUGAGGCAAGAAGGAGAACAUCACUGUUAAGAAGAUGGAAAAUGCAUUUGAGGUGGACUGAACACAGCCAGGAGUUUUUGCUUAUCGACAGCACUGAAUCCUGCCUUGACUAGAGAGACUCGUCAUGUGAUCAACUGUGGCCAGAGGGCAUCCUGCAGACAGCUCCUGUCACACCACACUGACCAGACUCUUAUGAGUAUUUAAGCAUCUUCAGGGAAGCGAUUGACUGUCUUAUAAUGGUCUUACAAGUACGGAACUUUAUUACCUGCUAAUAAUCAGAGCACAUGAUGGCACAAUAGAAUAUACGAGUGAAGUUCUAAAUGCAAGGUUGUUCUUAUUCUGUGAGUGGCAAAACUCAUGCAGUGAGCAGAUAAAGCUGGCAGGAGGCAUUGGCGCCCUAAUGCUGGGCACUAACCACCUGCCCGGACUGCGAAUAUCUGUUGGGUCCUUUCUAUAUCUGGUCUAUUCUCGUGUUUGAUUAUAUCCUGGUGGCAAGAAUAGCAAAAUCAACUCUCCUUCCUAUCCCAUGUGGAGAGGCAUGAUUUGAGUCAGAGAGCAUUAUCCUCUCUGCGUUAUCCAACCCCAUGUCCCAUGAUGCACUUUGUAGACAAGCAAGUGUCCCUGGUGGAGAAUCCACAGCCACACAUCCUCAUUGGUUGCAAGGAUCAGUGUCCAAUAUCUACUGCCAUGAUCAUUCUCAGUUUUACAUCCACAGAGCUUCAUAGAAUUCUAACACCACAGGUCCAAGUAGAGGUUUUGGCCUCAGAGUGGGCUAGAUUCCACCUCUGACAGCAGCUGUGGGACUGUUUUUCCAUCUGUAAAAUGGAGACAAGAGUAUCACCUACCUCAUGGUGUUGGUGGGAUCGUUAAACAGAAUUCCGAUCAUGAAACCCUUAGCCUGCUCCCUGCAUAGGCUGCAUGCGCUCAGUGAGCUAUGGCUCUGUUUCAUGCUGACUUUACCAUCAUGUAAGCAGUUUUAAAAAUGCUAGAAGCUUUAGUCAUAGAAUUACCAUAUGAUACAGCCUACUGCAGAGUCCAGAGGCUGAGGCAGGAGAGUUACUUGAACCUGGGAGGCGGAGGUUGCAGUGAGCCAAGAUCGCGCCACUGCACUCCAGCCUGGGCAACAGAGUGAGAUUCUGUCUCAACACAAAAAAGAAGACAUGUGUCCCCAUCACAGUAUCAUACAGAGUGCUUCCACUGCCCUAAAAUACCCUGUGCUCUUCCUAUUCAUCCCUCUCUUCAACCCCAGCAACCACUGAUCCUUUUACCAUCUCCAUGGUUUUGCCUUUCCCAGAAUGUCAUAUUGUUGGAAUCAUACGCUAUGUAGCCUUUGCAAAUGGGCUUCUUUCACCGAGCAAUGUGCAUUGAAGGUGCCUCUAUGACUUUUCAAGGGUUGAUAGCUCAUUCCUUUUUAUUGCUAAAUAAUAUUCCAUUGUCUGAAUGUACCACAUUUUGUUUAUCCAUUCACCUACUAAAGGACAUCUUGGUUGCUUCCAAGUUUGGGCAAUUAUAAAUAAAACUGCUAUAAACAUUGUGUGCAGGUUUUUUUUUCUAGAUGUCAGUUUUUAACUCAUUUGGACUAUAGAGCACUAUUGCUGGAUCAUAUGAUACGUGUGUGUUUAGUUUUAUGAGAAACUGCCAAACUGUCUUCCAAAGUGGCUGCACCAUUUUGCAUUCCCACCGUCAAUGAAUGAGAGCUCCGGUUGUUCCACAUCCUCACCAGCAUUUGGUGUUGUCAUUGUUUUGGAUUUUAGCCAUUUCAUAGGUGUGUAGAGGUAGCUCAUUGUUUUAAUCUAAUAAACAUCUUAUUGAAGAAUAACACACAAGCAGAAAAUUUCAGAGAUACAAACGAACAGCUUUUUCAACCAUCACCCACUGGAUACAGUUCUGUAUCCAGCACCCAGGCCAAGAAACUGACACUAACGGUGCCCUGUGCCC
rnacentral:lncRNA from 10 species